CGACAUCCGGAUCAACUGUUACCCAAAAAAUUCGUGUUCUACGGGUCAAAAUACAUAAAAAAAACUUGGGUAAGUCCAUCUGAAUUAAGAAGGCCGUUGUACCCCCCCUGGCGACAGGACUAGUAACAUUCUAGUUAGGUAUAGGUUCAUUGAGGCCAUAAUUACAUCUGUCCGAAAAUAGGCAGCACAUAUACAUAUAAUAACUUAUGGCUGUUUAGCCCAUAUAUUGAACUUACCUGCAUAUGAUGACAUAGGUGUAUAUAAUGCCAGGAAUAAAGAGUACUAUAAAAAAAUUGCAAAUAUUUCAGAAAUGUACAUUUUGCUAGCGCAAAAUUUCGAGAAGCUGGUGAUUUUGCUCUUUUAUUGCAUCAGGAUGUUCGUUGGAAUACUUUAUCGGGAUGCUUAGAAAGUUACUUGAAAAUCUGGCCAAUAUCACAGUAGACUCCCUCUAUAACGAGAAUUGAAAUGGCGGACUAAUUACCUCGUCAUAAGCGGAUCUCGUUAUAUCAGACACCAAUAAUAUUGUGCAUACCACCACCAUCGAAAUGUUUUCAUGCCUCUUACGUAGUUUAUUAGGUGUCAAUGGUCGACCUCAACAAUGAAAUUUGGCCAUCGUAAAUUGUAAAUUUCCUACAGUAUUCCAUAUCGGUCGGUAGAUAAACAAGAAGGAAGAAGUUUAUUACCGGCGGUGGAAGUUAUUACAGCACUGGUCUCAAUAAGCACACAGAUGUUGGGCAUUCCUGUAUACAGGCAGUUAUGGUAUUUAUUUAUAGCCCGAUCAGGGAAUAGGUAGUUGAAAUUGUCUAUUAUUGUAUAAGAAAAAGUUUACAAUUCUACAUCCCCUCCAUUUUACAAAAAUUGGAAAAUACGGGAUGAAGAAAAUAAUCUCGGGAGUGGAAAAAAAUACGUUCAAAAUAAGUCCGGAAUUGGAUAUAAUGACUAAUUCUAAGCAACUUUUGUUCUAUAGAGUUUUUUUACAAAGUCAAUACACUUUUCGAUUUAUUUGCUAGUGAAUAUGUUCAUUUUUAACGAAAAAAAAAACAUGUUUUUGGACGAUUUUUCGGAAAUAACUCAAAAAGUAAGUAUUUUAGUGUCACCCAUUUCGAACUGAGUCCGGCACUGCCCCGCCGAGCCGUCAACAAGGAGUGAGAUCACCGUCUCGACACAGUAUAAAGAGGUUCCACAAUAGAACCACUCUCAGAAAAAUUGGAAGUAAAAUCUUUCAACGCGCAGAGCGGCUGCGCAUAUUUCCUGGUCGCCCCAGAACCAUUCUUCGAUUGCUACUCGCGUAGAAACGUACGGGUUAACAGUGCCGUAUUUUGCUUAAACUGAGUUAGUUUUGUAAAUAAUCGUUAGUAUUGUGAAGUUGAACAUGAGUCAAAUUCGAAGUGGUAUUAGUCGGUGUUCAGCGAAAAUGUGCCAGAACAAUUCAAAAAAUUGUUACAGUUUUUUUCCGAUUUCCCAAGGAAGCUGAUAGAGCACCAAAUUGGGCAAUUUUGUGCCAGAGAGAAGAUUUGUUAAACAAGAAAACAAACAUAAAUUUGAACAGAUUAUGCAGUGUGCAUUUUGAAAAUAGUAUGUUUUCAAAUAAAACUCGGACAGUUUGUGUAAAAACGCAGUACCACGUUUAUUUCCUUCAAUAGAAGAAGUCCAAACCAACAUUCGAAUGUUGAUCAAGAUGAUGAAAAUAGUUUUGAUCCAGUAAAUGAGGAACAACGGGAAGAAUUAGCUACCUUACCGCCUGGUGGAGAGGACAGCGAAGUUGUUCUACAAAAAAAUCAAAAAACUCAAACUUUAGAAAGUGUAUCGACCUAUAGCCCUAAAAAAACAAGCUAAGAAAGACUAUAAAGCAAUUGCAAAACAAGAAUUUUCGAUUAAAAAAAAUUGCAAAAACUACAAGAUUCUGGAAAACCCGAUUAUCUUAAAAACGUUACAUUGGAAAAUUAUAAAUCACUAACGGAUAAAUUUUGUUCUGCCAAUAAAAAUUUAGCUAAUUUUAAUAAUAUUCAAUAGUAUGUACAAUGUAUUAAAAACCAUUGAGAUUUAAAACUUGCGCAAUACCGUUGAAAUAUAAACAUUGAAUUGUAAUAUUGUUUUUCAUGUAUUAAACCUUUUGUUUUUGUAAUAUUAACAUUUAGUAAGAACAUCUGGACAUUUAAAUAUGAGAAGCCGCAUUUUUUAUUUUAAUAAAUAAUAGUAGUAGGCCCAGAAAGUUUUAGUACGGCUCUGUAAGGUUAAUCAAAGGAGCGUGCGGCCUCCGCCUGCAUCCGCCACUGGUGAAUUACCAAUUUCGUGCUUUGCCGGUAUUACUUCUUGAGAACAAAGCGCCGACAGAAGAGUGAUUUUACUGUGGAACCUCUAUAUACUGUGGUCUCGAUGAGUCGCCAGUACCCCAGAUGCUCGAGAAUUCUGAGACAAACAAUAUAAAUUGACGUUUUGCGUAGAGACGUAUUCAGUUAAUAUUUUAUCGACGCGAGAAUACUGUUACGUUAUAAUCGGGUUUUGAAAUGUAUUAUUUGUAUUUAAAGUAGAUAAGUCAA
rnacentral:lncRNA from 1 species